GAUGAACGCUAGCGGCAGGCUUAAUACAUGCAAGUCGAGGGGCAGCAGGGGUAGCAAUACUCGCUGGCGACCGGCAAACGGGUGCGGAACACGUACAGAACCUUCCUUUAAGUGGGGAAUAGCCCAGAGAAAUUUGGAUUAAUACCCCGUAACAUUAUUUAGUGGCAUCACUUGAUAAUUAUAGAUUUAUCGCUUAGAGAUGGCUGUGCGGCUGAUUAGGUAGUUGGGUGGGUAACGGCCCACCAAGCCUUCGAUCAGUAACUGGUGUGAGAGCACGACCAGUCACACGGGCACUGAGACACGGGCCCGACUCCUACGGGAGGCAGCAGUAAGGAAUAUUGGUCAAUGGACGCAAGUCUGAACCAGCCAUGCCGCGUGAAGGAUGAAGGUCCUCUGGAUUGUAAACUUCUUUUAUCUGGGACGAAACACUCUUAUUCUUAAGAGCUUGACGGUACCAGAGGAAUAAGCACCGGCUAACUCCGUGCCAGCCGCCGCCGUAAC
rnacentral:rRNA from 1 species